UGUGGGCACGUAGUUCGUCUUUUCCAUGGUCAUGAUGAAUGUUUGACAAUACCAUCUACAGACCAGAAUGAUUCUCAGCACAGGAGAGUUUUCUAUGAAGCUGGAGGAGCUGGAACCAGAGCCAGGUCUCUGUGGAGAGUGGAACCCCUUCGGAUAAGCUGGAGCGGCAGCAACAUCAGGUGGGGUCAGGCGUUCCGACUCCGGCAUCUCACCACAGGCCACUACCUGGCCUUGACAGAAGAC